GCCGCGUGAGGGACGACGGCCUUCGGGUUGUAAACCUCUUUUAGCAGGGAAGAAGCGAAAGUGACGGUACCUGCAGAAAAAGCACCGGCUAACUACGUGCCAGCAGCCGCGGUAAUACGUAGGGUGCAAGCGUUGUCCGGAAUUAUUGGGCGUAAAGAGCUCGUAGGCGGUUUGUCGCGUCUGCUGUGAAAACGCGAGGCUCAACCUCGCGCCUGCAGUGGGUACGGGCAAACUAGAGUGCGGUAGGGGAGAUUGGAAUUCCUGGUGUAGCGGUGGAAUGCGCAGAUAUCAGGAGGAACACCGAUGGCGAAGGCAGAUCUCUGGGCCGUAACUGACGCUGAGGAGCGAAAGCAUGGGGAGCGAACAGGAUUAGAUACCCUGGUAGUCCAUGCCGUAAACGUUGGGAACUAGAUGUAGGGACCAUUCCACGGUUUCUGUGUCGCAGCUAACGCAUUAAGUUCCCCGCCUGGGGAGUACGGUCGCAAGACUAAAACUCAAAGGAAUUGACGGGGGCCCGCACAAGCGGCGGAGCAUGCGGAUUAAUUCGAUGCAACGCGAAGAACCUUACCAAGGCUUGACAUAUACGAGAACGGGCUAGAAAUAGUCAACUCUUUGGACACUCGUAAACAGGUGGUGCAUGGUUGUCGUCAGCUCGUGUCGUGAGAUGUUGGGUUAAGUCCCGCAACGAGCGCAACCCUCGUCCUAUGUUGCCAGCACGU
rnacentral:rRNA from 1 species